AUUGAACGCUGGCGGCAGGCCUAACACAUGCAAGUCGAGCGGAUGAAGGGAGCUUGCUCCUGGCUUCAGCGGCGGACGGGUGAGUAAUGCCUAGGAAUCUGCCUGGUAGUGGGGGAUAACGUCCGGAAACGGGCGCUAAUCCCGCAUACGUCCUGAGGGAGAAAGUGGGGGAUCUUCGGACCACACGCUAUCAGCUGAGCCUAGGUCGGAUUAGCUAGUUGGUGGGGUAAAGGCCUACCAAGGCGACGAUCCGUAACUGGUCUGAGAGGAUGAUCAGUCACACUGGAACUGAGACACGGUCCAGACUCCUACGGGAGGCAGCAGUGGGGAAUAUUGGACAAUGGGCGAAAGCCUGAUCCAGCCAUGCCGCGUGUGUGAAGAAGGUCUUCGGAUUGUAAAGCACUUUAAGUUGGGAGGAAGGGCAGUAAGUUAAUACCUUGCUGUUUUGACGUUACCAACAGAAUAAGCACCGGCUAACUUCGUG
rnacentral:rRNA from 1 species